GUCCCCAUCGUCUAGAGGCCUAGGACACCGCCCUUUCACGGCGGUAACAGGGGUUCGAAUCCCCUUGGGGACGCCA
rnacentral:tRNA from 325 species